rnacentral:rRNA from 1 species
GGGGCGGGCUACCAUGCAGUCGAGCGGAACGAGUUAUCUGAACCUUCGGGGAACGAUAACGGCGUCGAGCGGCGGACGGGUGAGUAAUGCCUAGGAAAUUGCCCUGAUGUGGGGGAUAACCAUUGGAAACGAUGGCUAAUACCGCAUGAUGCCUACGGGCCAAAGAGGGGGACCUUCGGGCCUCUCGCGUCAGGAUAUGCCUAGGUGGGAUUAGCUAGUUGGUGAGGUAAGGGCUCACCAAGGCGACGAUCCCUAGCUGGUCUGAGAGGAUGAUCAGCCACACUGGAACUGAGACACGGUCCAGACUCCUACGGGAGGCAGCAGUGGGGAAUAUUGCACAAUGGGCGCAAGCCUGAUGCAGCCAUGCCGCGUGUGUGAAGAAGGCCUUCGGGUUGUAAAGCACUUUCAGUCGUGAGGAAGGUGGUGUAGUUAAUAGCUGUAUUAUUUGACGUUAGCGACAGAAGAAGCACCGGCUAACUCCGUGCCAGCAGCCGCGGUAAUACGGAGGGUGCGAGCGUUAAUCGGAAUUACUGGGCGUAAAGCGCAUGCAGGUGGUUUGUUAAGUCAGAUGUGAAAGCCCGGGGCUCAACCUCGGAAUAGCAUUUGAAACUGGCAGACUAGAGUACUGUAGAGGGGGGUAGAAUUUCAGGUGUAGCGGUGAAAUGCGUAGAGAUCUGAAGGAAUACCGGUGGCGAAGGCGGCCCCCUGGACAGAUACUGACACUCAGAUGCGAAAGCGUGGGGAGCAAACAGGAUUAGAUACCCUGGUAGUCCACGCCGUAAACGAUGUCUACUUGGAGGUUGUGGCCUUGAGCCGUGGCUUUCGGAGCUAACGCGUUAAGUAGACCGCCUGGGGAGUACGGUCGCAAGAUUAAAACUCAAAUGAAUUGACGGGGGCCCGCACAAGCGGUGGAGCAUGUGGUUUAAUUCGAUGCACCGCGAAGAACCUUACCUACUCUUGACUUCCAGAGAACUUUCCAGAAAUGGAUUGGUGCCUUCGGGAACUCUGAGACAGGUGCUGCAUG